AAACUACAUUUCAUUACCUACCAGCCACUAUCAUAAUUAAGACAAAGCUGAUUGAAUCAUAAACCCUCUUUGAUCAUGUCCCGAUUGGAUCGAUAUCUUGUUUCGCUCUGAAGAGAGUAAAUCGAACUCGGUUCGGUGGAUAUGGCCUCCCCUGGACCCGGCUUCAAGGCUAAAAAGCAGAAGAUUAUACGCGAUCUGUCUGUCCCAGAUGAAGAAUAUACAGAUCUCUCACCCAAGGGAUCUAUAGAUGCGGGGAUCCGCGAUUUGAUUCACAAUAUCAACCAAAUGCCAGGCCUGGUUACGACAAGCAGCUGUGCCGGAAGAAUCAGCGUAUUCCUAGAAGGGGGUGAAAGUGGAAGAAAAAGGAAAGGACUAGGAGAUAAAGAAGGCUCUUCUGCCAAAGAAGAUGAUCGGA
rnacentral:sRNA from 1 species